CGGACGCUGCCUGGUGCGUUAGGCCGCUAGAUACCUGGGGCCAACAUUUAACCCUCGGGAACUGUCCCUGCCGGAGUCGUGGCUCCGGUACACGGUGCCCACCUAACCAUGAGGGCCUUAGAGAAGUAGCGAGGCCGACGGCUGGGCGGCUCCGU
rnacentral:other from 1 species